GACAGAGGAUGCAAGCGUUAUCCGGAAUGAUUGGGCGUAAAGCGUCUGUAGGUGGCUUUUAAGUCCGCCGUCAAAUCCCAGGGCUCAACCCUGGACAGGCGGUGGAAACUACCAAGCUGGAGUACGGUAGGGCAGAGGGAAUUCCGGUGGAGCGGUGAAAUGCGUAGAGAUCGGAAAGAACACCAACGGCGAAAGCACUCUGCUGGCCGACACUGACACUGAGAGACGAAAGCUAGGGAGCGAAUGGG
rnacentral:rRNA from 1 species